GUGCUCCCUUCAGCAGCACAUAUAGUAAAAUUGAAAUGAUACAGGGAAGAUUAGCAUGGCUCUGUGCAAGGAAGACAUGCAAAUUCGUGAAGCAUUCAUAUUUAAA
ensembl:snRNA U6 U6 spliceosomal RNA